rnacentral:rRNA from 1 species
UAAAGGGUCCGUAGCCGGUUUGGUCAGUCCUCCGGGAAAUCUGAUAGCUCAACUAUAGGCUUCGGGGGAUACUGCAGACUGGAACCGGGAGAGGUAAGAGGUACUACAGGGGUAGGAGUGAAAUCUUGUAACUCCUGUGGGACCACCUGUGGCGAAGGCGUCUACCAGAACGGUUCGACGGUGAGGGACGAAAGCUGGGGGCACGAACCGGAUUAGAUACCCGGGUAGUCCCAGCCGUAAACGAUGCUCGCUAGGUGUCAGGCAUGGCGCGACCGUGUCUGGUGCCGCAGGGAAGCCGUGAAGCGAGCCACCUGGGAAGUACGGCCGCAAGGCUGAAACUUAAAGGAAUUGGCGGGGAGCACAACAACGGGUGGAAGCCUGCGGUUUAAUUGGACUCAACGCCGGACAACUCACCGGGGGCGACAGCAAUAUGUAGGCCAAGCUGAAGACUUUGCCUGAAUCGCUGAGGAGUGGUGCAUGG